GUUACCGCCGGACGGGAGGACUCGCGAGGGUUGGGGAACCCGAUGACCGAGCCCUUUCCGAGACGGCCGAGGGUCUAUAGGGAGCCCGAGGUCGGUCGCUCUGGCGAAGGAG
rnacentral:sRNA from 12 species